GUGCGCGCGGGCGGGCACGUGGGGCCCUUUCGUCCCCGGCGUCCGGGCGCCCUGCAUGGAUCCCCCACCCCAGCUCCUGCUCCCCGGCGGCGGCCGACUUCCUAGCAUGGGCUGUUGUGCUGGAGAGAACGAGAGCUACGAAGAGACUACAGUGCCUCUGACUUUUUCAUAGGACAGUUGGCCGAGGAAGACAAACAUAAAGAUGAAGUGCUUAAUUCAAGGUCACACAAUGUCGGGGAUGGACCUCCAGAUUUCCUUACUGACCUGCAUUAUCUUGUGGAUACCUGAGUGAAUUCCACACCACCCAUUUUAUAGAUGAAACCACUGAGACAUGGAGCAAUUGACUGAGUAGUCACUGCCCCACCCCUGCCUGGAGCCUCACACAUGACUCGCCUCCUCUCAGUGACCACAGGUUGGUUGAGGGGUUUAACAAGGCUAAGAAGGUGAGACGUGGUCUUGUAACACAGUGGUUAAGAAUGUGACUUUGGAGCCAGCCUGCUAGGGGCUGAAUUCUGACUCAGCCAUUUACUAACUGUGUGACCUUAGGGAGGAGGACCUGGUUGAUAGAAGAAUUUAUCUCGUAGUCUUAACAUCCACUGUAAUUCCAAACUUUGAGGACGAUAGAGAUCAGUGGGCUUUGACUGCCCAGCAUGCAGUCUCCAUUCUUAGGUGGGUUCCCAAGCCUGUAAAAUGUAAGCCUUAUGCUGCUGAGGGCCAUCUUGCCACCCUGAGGGAAACGCUGCCUGAGAAUGAAACAAGCAUAAGUAAAAGCUGAGCUGUGAGAUGGAGCAAGAUGAAGGCCACAUGACAUCUUUGGAGCACCUGGAUCUAACUGUGCCUUAAGCUAGUCUAACCCUGAACAUUUCAUCAUUUCAUUGACAUGAGCCCAGGUUUUCUUUUUUUUUGGAUGGAGUCUUGCUCUGUCGCCCAGGCUGGAGUGCAGUAGCUCAAUCUCGGCUCACUGCAAGCUCCACCUCCCGGGUUCACGCCAUUCUCCUGCCUUAGCCUCCCAAGUAGCUGGGACAACAGGCGCCCACCACCACUCCCAGCUAAUUUUUUGUAUUUUUAGUAGAGACGGGGUUUUACCAUGUUAGCCGGGAUGGUCUUGAUCUCCUGACCUCAUGAUCCGCCCGCCUCGGCCUCCCAAAGUGCUGGGAUUACAGGUGUGAGCCACUGCACCCAGCCCUCAGGUUUUCCCUUUUUUUACCCCUCCUUUUGAAAAUUUGAUGUGGAAUUUUGCCACCUGCAGCCAGAAGAGUUUUAACUAAUCAGUGCCAUAAAUUUUAUAUAGUUCUCCUUGCAAAAUGUGGAUCAGCCUUUCUCAGCAAAUCCUUUGUCAUAAAGUGCUGAAUUGUAAGUUUGUCAUGAGAAUCACAUGAGAUCAUGCAUGUGAAGAACCUGGCAUUAUCCUCCUCAUAGAAAAAAACCAGUAAAUAUUAACUACAGGAAGCAAGGAAGGAGUGGGGUGAGGGGAAGAAGAAGGGGUACUGAUUUAAAAGAACCCUGGAGUCCUAAGGAUAAUCUAGGAACCCUCAGACCCAAUCCGAUACCCCUAUUCUAAAUGCUCCUAGUGCCCUGUACCUUCCCCUCAUAAGCCUUCAUUAUCAUUGUAAUGAUAUGUUUAUGUAAUAUUUUGAUUAAUGUCUCUCCUUCACUGACCUAGCAGUUCUAGCAGGGCAGUGAUUUUGCUGUGUUGCAUCCCCAGCACCUAGUCUGGUAUGUGGCAUUCAGCAUAUGUUUAUUGAAUGAAUGGCCAUGUGGUUAUUCAGAUCCUCCUUGAUUAUUGGGGUUAGGAUUGUGGCAGAAGUGGCAAAAUCAGGGAGAGUAGUCCCUGUCCCCUCUGUAUCUUAUACACUGCCCACACUCCCAACACACAUACACAUACAGAGAAUUUUGUCUCAAUUAGAUAAUUAACUUCUGCUUGGUUGUAAACCAAACCACUGGUUCUUAAACUUUCAUUGGAUCAUUUUAUUGAAGAAUUAAAUAGUGUGGUUCUGGCCUAAUGUCUGGAAAGCCUUGCAGAGGAGUGGAUUAGGUCUUUGUGAUAAACAGGCAGCCUUCCCUGCUCCUGUGUCUUUAUAAAAUCUAUUUAACUGGAGUAGUCCACCCUCCCUCAGGCUCUUACAGGAAUAUGUUGGAGGCUGUAGGAAGGUGGGAAACCGAGAGGGAAAGGACUGGGCCGCUGGAGACUUCACUCAUUCCCUAGCAAGAAACAAAAGCAGUAAAAGGUGGCCCGAGGACAACCUGAAGCUCACUCCUUCAGCACUUUUGGCUGGAGGUCACUUGUUGGAGCCCCACUCAGAGCUCAGCACACCACCCCACCAGCAGCCUCCUCCUCCCAGCUGAGGCUGCAUUUCAUCCCUUCCCCCAGCCUGCUUUCCCUGAGAUAGGGGAGUGUUUCCCAGGGCCCAUGUGACUUCCACUGGCAAGUGACGAUUACCAAUGGUUUACUAGUCAGUGAAACUACCAAAGGCUUUUGUGCUGUAGUAAUCCUUUUCCUGUUUAAAACUCUGGGGAUUUUCUAAUGUUGCCAAUAGUUUUUCAAGUCAGCAAUUACUGUGUGGAUUAUGUAAUGGCUCGGUAUUAAAAAUAGAAAAGACUGGAGUUUGCAUCUAUUUUAACCAAAUCUUGAAAACAGAGCAAAGGGAGGGGAAGGGUGGAGAGGGAGAGACCAGAGGAGGAGGGAGAAAAAGAGAUCAUGUGACUGGAUAAGACAGCUCACAAUUCACUGUGCCUUUCUCCCACCAUUUGUGGCCCAAGGACCUGUACUCCCUCCUCAGCCUCCUCUAGGGAGGGGUCCUUGAUGAGAAUUCUGAGGACACAAGACCCCUUGUGGAUAUUUCUUAGCUCAGCCUUGGUGUGCUUACCUGCUUCUGACAAGCAAAGUGGCCAAGUAGGGGAGGGAGUUGAAUCUGAUGUCCUCCACUAAGUCCAG
rnacentral:lncRNA from 1 species